GGUUAAGCGACUAAGCGUACACGGUGGAUGCCCUGGCAGUCAGAGGCGAUGAAGGACGUGCUAAUCUGCGAUAAGCGUCGGUAAGGUGAUAUGAACCGUUAUAACCGGCGAUUUCCGAAUGGGGAAACCCAGUGUGAUUCGUCACACUAUCAUUAACUGAAUCCAUAGGUUAAUGAGGCGAACCGGGGGAACUGAAACAUCUAAGUACCCCGAGGAAAAGAAAUCAACCGAGAUUCCCCCAGUAGCGGCGAGCGAACGGGGAGCAGCCCAGAGCCUGAAUCAGUGUGUGUGUUAGUGGAAGCGUCUGGAAAGGCGCGCGAUACAGGGUGACAGCCCCGUACACAAAAAUGCACAUGCUGUGAGCUCGAUGAGUAGGGCGGGACACGUGGUAUCCUGUCUGAAUAUGGGGGGACCAUCCUCCAAGGCUAAAUACUCCUGACUGACCGAUAGUGAACCAGUACCGUGAGGGAAAGGCGAAAAGAACCCCGGCGAGGGGAGUGAAAAAGAACCUGAAACCGUGUACGUACAAGCAGUGGGAGCACGCUUAGGCGUGUGACUGCGUACCUUUUGUAUAAUGGGUCAGCGACUUAUAUUCUGUAGCAAGGUUAACCGAAUAGGGGAGCCGAAGGGAAACCGAGUCUUAACUGGGCGUUAAGUUGCAGGGUAUAGACCCGAAACCCGGUGAUCUAGCCAUGGGCAGGUUGAAGGUUGGGUAACACUAACUGGAGGACCGAACCGACUAAUGUUGAAAAAUUAGCGGAUGACUUGUGGCUGGGGGUGAAAGGCCAAUCAAACCGGGAGAUAGCUGGUUCUCCCCGAAAGCUAUUUAGGUAGCGCCUCGUGAAUUCAUCUCCGGGGGUAGAGCACUGUUUCGGCAAGGGGGUCAUCCCGACUUACCAACCCGAUGCAAACUGCGAAUACCGGAGAAUGUUAUCACGGGAGACACACGGCGGGUGCUAACGUCCGUCGUGAAGAGGGAAACAACCCAGACCGCCAGCUAAGGUCCCAAAGUCAUGGUUAAGUGGGAAACGAUGUGGGAAGGCCCAGACAGCCAGGAUGUUGGCUUAGAAGCAGCCAUCAUUUAAAGAAAGCGUAAUAGCUCACUGGUCGAGUCGGCCUGCGCGGAAGAUGUAACGGGGCUAAACCAUGCACCGAAGCUGCGGCAGCGACGCUGAUGCGUUGUUGGGUAGGGGAGCGUUCUGUAAGCCUGCGAAGGUGUGCUGUGAGGCAUGCUGGAGGUAUCAGAAGUGCGAAUGCUGACAUAAGUAACGAUAAAGCGGGUGAAAAGCCCGCUCGCCGGAAGACCAAGGGUUCCUGUCCAACGUUAAUCGGGGCAGGGUGAGUCGACCCCUAAGGCGAGGCCGAAAGGCGUAGUCGAUGGGAAACAGGUUAAUAUUCCUGUACUUGGUGUUACUGCGAAGGGGGGACGGAGAAGGCUAUGUUGGCCGGGCGACGGUUGUCCCGGUUUAAGCGUGUAGGCUGGUUUUCCAGGCAAAUCCGGAAAAUCAAGGCUGAGGCGUGAUGACGAGGCACUACGGUGCUGAAGCAACAAAUGCCCUGCUUCCAGGAAAAGCCUCUAAGCAUCAGGUAACAUCAAAUCGUACCCCAAACCGACACAGGUGGUCAGGUAGAGAAUACCAAGGCGCUUGAGAGAACUCGGGUGAAGGAACUAGGCAAAAUGGUGCCGUAACUUCGGGAGAAGGCACGCUGAUAUGUAGGUGAAGUCCCUCGCGGAUGGAGCUGAAAUCAGUCGAAGAUACCAGCUGGCUGCAACUGUUUAUUAAAAACACAGCACUGUGCAAACACGAAAGUGGACGUAUACGGUGUGACGCCUGCCCGGUGCCGGAAGGUUAAUUGAUGGGGUUAGCGCAAGCGAAGCUCUUGAUCGAAGCCCCGGUAAACGGCGGCCGUAACUAUAACGGUCCUAAGGUAGCGAAAUUCCUUGUCGGGUAAGUUCCGACCUGCACGAAUGGCGUAAUGAUGGCCAGGCUGUCUCCACCCGAGACUCAGUGAAAUUGAACUCGCUGUGAAGAUGCAGUGUACCCGCGGCAAGACGGAAAGACCCCGUGAACCUUUACUAUAGCUUGACACUGAACAUUGAGCCUUGAUGUGUAGGAUAGGUGGGAGGCUUUGAAGUGUGGACGCCAGUCUGCAUGGAGCCGACCUUGAAAUACCACCCUUUAAUGUUUGAUGUUCUAACGUGGACCCGUGAUCCGGGUUGCGGACAGUGUCUGGUGGGUAGUUUGACUGGGGCGGUCUCCUCCUAAAGAGUAACGGAGGAGCACGAAGGUUGGCUAAUCCUGGUCGGACAUCAGGAGGUUAGUGCAAUGGCAUAAGCCAGCUUGACUGCGAGCGUGACGGCGCGAGCAGGUGCGAAAGCAGGUCAUAGUGAUCCGGUGGUUCUGAAUGGAAGGGCCAUCGCUCAACGGAUAAAAGGUACUCCGGGGAUAACAGGCUGAUACCGCCCAAGAGUUCAUAUCGACGGCGGUGUUUGGCACCUCGAUGUCGGCUCAUCACAUCCUGGGGCUGAAGUAGGUCCCAAGGGUAUGGCUGUUCGCCAUUUAAAGUGGUACGCGAGCUGGGUUUAGAACGUCGUGAGACAGUUCGGUCCCUAUCUGCCGUGGGCGCUGGAGAACUGAGGGGGGCUGCUCCUAGUACGAGAGGACCGGAGUGGACGCAUCACUGGUGUUCGGGUUGUCAUGCCAAUGGCACUGCCCGGUAGCUAAAUGCGGAAGAGAUAAGUGCUGAAAGCAUCUAAGCACGAAACUUGCCCCGAGAUGAGUUCUCCCUGACCCUUUAAGGGUCCUGAAGGAACGUUGAAGACGACGACGUUGAUAGGCCGGGUGUGUAAGCGCAGCGAUGCGUUGAGCUAACCGGUACUAAUGAACCGUGAGGCUUAACCUU
rnacentral:rRNA from 1 species